rnacentral:lncRNA from 1 species
AAAAUUUAAAUGCGAAAAAUCACAUGGCUGAUAAACUAGGGAUGUCAAUGGGUAUGGAUACCCGAAAUAUUAUCCGAACCCGAAUCCGAACGGGGCGGGUUUAUCCGAGCUAAACGGAUAUGUAUUUGGUUAUGGAUAUAGAAAAUAAAAAUCCGACGGAUAUGGAUACGGAUAUGAAUUUUGUAUAUAUCCGACCCGAAUCCGAACCCGACCCGCACCCAAACC